UACGUAGGGGCCAAGCGUUGUCCGGAUUUAUUGGGCGUAAAGAGCUCGUAGGCGGUUCGGCAAGUCGACGGUGAAAUCUCCACGCUCAACGUGGCGGGGUCCGUCGAUACUGCUGUGACUCGAGUCCGGUAGGGGAGUGUGGAAUUCCCGGUGUAGCGGUGAAAUGCGCAGAGAUCGGGAGGAACACCCGUAGCGAAGGCGGCACUCUGGGCCGGUACUGACGCUGAGGAGCGAAGGCGUGGGGAGCGAACAGG
rnacentral:rRNA from 1 species